GGACAUACCUUGCAGGAGAGAUACCGUGUUCACGAAGGUAGUUUUCCCAGGGCGAGGCUUAUUCGUUGCACUCCGAUGUGCUGACCCCCACAAUUUCUCCAAAUGUGAGAAGCUUGACUGCAUAAUUUGUGGUAGUGGGGGACUGCAUUCAUGCUUUCCCCUG